rnacentral:rRNA from 1 species
AUGUUUGAUGAAACAUUUGCCUCUUUCCAAUGGCUAUUUAAGGCUUUUCUAGCUGCACACAAUGGAAAACAACCUAGAGCUAUACUUACUGACCAAGACACUGCAAUGGGAAAUGCCGUCGGGGAGGUAUUCACAGAAGCAUGGCAUGGAUUAUGUACCUUUCACAUAAUGCAAAAUGCUGUGAAGCACUUAUGCAAUAGCAAAGUUGAUGACUCACAUUCUCCAAAAGAUAAAAAUGAGGCAGAUGAAGAAGAAGAAGAAGAAGAAGAAGAACCACACAUUCUCUCAGAUUUUAGUGCUUGCAUGUAUAACAUUGAGGACACGACGGCCUUUGAAGAAGCAUUUGACAUCAUGAGGAAUAAGGUGGACGAAAAGAAGAUGUCAUGGCUGGAUAGCACCUACAAGUUCAAGGAAAAAUGGGUUGAAUGUUACACGAGAUAUGUCUUCACAUUGGGUAUGAGAAGCACACAAUUAAGUGAUAGUUUCAAUAGUGACUUGAAGAAACAUUUAAAAUCAGAUUUUGACAUCAUUCGGUUCUUGAAGCAUUUCAAAAGGGCGGUGCAAGGAAAAAGAAACAAGGAACUAGAUGCAGAAUUUGAAACUAGGAAAAAGUUACCUAGAAUAAGCAUGAAGACACCCACAAUAUUUGAAGCAUUUCAAGCUGAAUAUGGCAGAUCCAUGGCUGCAUGUACUAGAGCAUAA